CCCCCUCCCGCAAGCCCUCGGGGAGUCCCCUGGGCGGCACCUCAGCGCCCACUGCCACUGCUGGCGUUUCCCGCCCAUCAGCCACCUCAGCCUCCAGUUUCCUCACUGCUGUGGCCCCCUCACAGCACCCCUGUCCCCAGUGUGAGCCACCCCCCCCACUUCCCUCUCUCCCACCCAGUCACGCCAGUGAUUCCGAUCCUGGGGCCUGAGACCCUCUCCAGGCCACCCUCAGGAUUAGGGCUAGAAGGCUGGGGGGGGUCAUCUAGUCUAGUGGUUCUCAACCUUUGGUACCUUAUGUAGUACCCCCAGCCGAUCGAUGUGGCAAAAGCAAAACCAGAGUCCCACCGUGGCACUUCCGGUUUUGCUACUGUGAGCAGAGUCCCACUUUUUCCUCGCAGACCACAGCAAAGCAGCCUGGACAUGUAGGGCAUAUGCAACCCGCGAGGAGCCCAUGAUGUGCUGCACCAGGCAGCCCCUGACUGGCCCGGCCCUGGCACAUGCAGGGCAAUGCUGGCAGUGCAGUGGAGGUGGGGGGCAUGUGGCUGAACACAGAGCAGCGGUGGCCACUGUGUGCAAGCUUCCCCUGCCCUGCCCUGCGUCCAGCUGAGCAGGCGGCGCCUGCACAGCAGUGUGGGAUGGUGCGUAGCACUACUCUGUCCCCACCUGCCCAUGCAUACCCCCCAGGGCCUUCUCAAGUACCCCCAGGGGUACACAUACUCCUGGUUCACAACGCCUGCCCUAGCCCAAGGGUUGCCCAAGAUGCCUGGACCAGGGCAGAAGGCCCAUGCAAGCGUGCAGCAGGCUGGUGAGCCUGAUGCCCAGACUCCCAGAGCAGACACCCAGUAUUCUAGAGAAGAGGCUGCCUCAUGCUGGACCCUGUGCAGGAAGAAGACAUCUACAAGGGAGCAGAGGCACUGAUGAGUGGUUUGAAACGUGGAUGUGGGGCCCUUAGGGGAGUUGGUGGUGGGGGUUUUGUGUGGGAUCCUGAUGGGGUAAGAAUUAGCUAUGAACUUGUUAAACAGUGGCUAGCUAGAGUUUUUCCUUUGAAAUUGCUCUGCAGCUAGAUUAAGCCUUUCUAAUGACGCCAGAAAAAAGAGCAUUAUCAGCAGACCUGUAACCCUGGUAUCGGAAAAAAGAAACGUUUUUUGUGAUGAACAGAGGCCCAGUGUUUCAGGUGAAGCUAAUGAUUCUUUGGCUUUUAGAAGACAGCAAGGAAUAGAAUGAACAGGCCCUGUUUUGAGUCAAAAACCCUUCUCCCAAAAAGGAAAAUCAGAACAAACAUGCACCUCCAUGUCGUUACCCUGUAGUGAAAGUGAUCUCACUCAAUACCUCCAAAGAAGGAAGAGAUGCUUCAGAGAAUCAAUUCCUAGAAAUGCCAGAGGGACAGGAACUGGACCAAAGCCCUCUAACAGCACUAACUCAAAACCACAGAAAUGCUCAUCCUAAGGAUCAGAACCCUGAAGAUCAGGAUGCCAGAAAGACAGAGAAGAAGGACAUGGUGAAAAAACAGAAAAGACACCACCAAACCCUGAGAGAACCAUGUGUAAAACACAAGAAUUCACUGUUUCAAAGCUCGUGCUUUGGGGCCUAUGAAUAAGAAACCCAGGACUGGUUGCACACAUAAUUUAGAGAAGUCUCAGAAGGAGAUUUUUCACCUGGUUUUGAAAGAUGAUUAUUGUGAAAACAACAAGAGGGGAUCUUUGGGCGGUGCAGGCAGAUUUACACAUUAAAGAAAGAGAGUGCAGCAUGAUUUGAAAGACCAUGAUUAUUGUGCCAACAAAAAGAGGGGAUCUUUGGAGGUGUGGGCAGACAUACACAUUGCAGACAGUGUAUUCAGAGUGUUUUGAAAGAUCAUGGUUAUUGUUUGAGCAAAAGGACAUAUUUUAUACGGAGAGUUGGCGGUAAACUCAGGAGUAAGCAGCUUGCAAGACAAAAAGUCGGGCCUGGUUAAAAAUGACUUGUAAAAGCUAAAUGUCUGUUGAGAACAAAAAGUGAGCCCCUAGUGAUGGUGAUUCACAUGCUCCUCCUGAAACUGUGAAACUGGAAAGUAAGGGCGGUGAAUGUGAUUCAGGGGACCCAUUAGAGAAUCCCUCAAGUGCUUACCCUCCUGAGCCUCUGAAGUCAGAGAGUGAGGGAGGUGGAUGUGAUUCAGGGGACACAAAUUGUCCCUCAAAUGCUUCCCCUUUUCCUGAAUUUAUGGAGUCAGAGAGUGGGGGUGGCAGAUGUGAUUCAAAGGACCCAAUAGAGGAUCUCUCAAAUGCCCCACCUCCUCCUGAGCCAGUGGAGGAUGUCUGGGCACACUUAGAUAUGAUAUGGGUGAGAAGGUGGGAGUGCUCGGAGGUUUAGAACAAGGUUUGCAGCCCGGAGGUAUGCAUGUCAUACUAUAUGUUGAUAGUGGCUUAAACUCCUGGACUUUUACUGAGGAGAAGAACAGAACAAAAACAAUGUUUCAGUAUGAUGGAAUCACCUUUCAGGAAGUGAAUGAAGUUCAGAAGACUAGCAAAUGAACAUGCUGUUUUGUACAGCUUUCUUUUUCUUUUCUUGCAGUACAAAAAUAUAGUAAUAUAGAAUAUGUUUAUGUUAUAUAAUUUAAUAUUGAGUAGUUUUCUCUCCAUUUAUUUAAUUAUACAUCUUACCUCUGAUGUUAGACUACUGACAGGGUACAUAAUUUGCAACAGGUUUCUCAUGAGAAAAGAUCCUACUGAUUUCUCUCUCUUCCAUAUAUUCUUUUUCCUUUAAUUAGCUCAUGCAGAUUUAAAAGGACAUGAUUUACCUGACACUGGACAUCAGUCAUUUUCUGUAGUAAAUAGCCACAGGGCAGCAUAUCACACUGAAUAGAGGACUUGAUUCUGUUCCUGGUUUUACCACUAGACUGUCAAGUAGUCCUGGGCAAGUCAUUUUACUUCUCUAUGCAUCCACAACAUAGAGGGGGGGAUGAUACUAACCCCCUUUGUACAGCACUUCGAUCACCAUGGAUGAAAAAGCAGUAUAAGAGGUAUUAUUUCCUCCAUUCCCAGAACUCUCUUUUUAGGAUUUUGCAAAGCUUAUGUCCUCCUUUCAGGUGGGAGUAUUUUUGUACUGUAAUCUAGUUUAGCAACAUAACAAGAUGGAGAUUCUGUCUUGUGAGCUGAAUUGGAGACAGAAUAUAUUGUGAGCAGCGAUAGUUUUUAGUCCUCAAUCUCGAGGAGCAUACGACUCCCAGAAAAAAUUGAGAAACAUAGCUCAAAAACAGUGGCAUAGGCACCUGAAAGGACUCUAAUGGUGUUUUGGCCUAAUGUAGGACCAUUUCAUGCUAUUGAUUUUUUAAGAACUAUAGUUGAAAUGUAGUGAAAAUAUUUUUCCUUGGCCAGCUAUUUUCAGGCUAAUGUUCUUUUGUAGACUUCCCAAGGAUAAUAGUGGAAACUGAGUUGCAGACCUAACCCUAGAAAAAACGCUGCCUUCAUUGUCCUGUGGAAGAUACGUUAGUAUAAAAGCACUCAGUAUGAGAAAAUCACAUACACACACAAAUUUUCUGCAAUAUUUAGUCAAUGUUUAGUAUUUCUGAGCCUGAGCUCACAAGGAUUUGUACAGUGCUAUGUCAUUCAGAGGCAGAUGAGCUCCGUAAGAGCCAACAGCCUUCCAUACCCGGAGAGGAGAUGAACACCACCAGGUCACACUGCCUGAAGAAUCACCAAUGAUGCAAAGCAACUCAAGUAACCUCAGCCAAACAGGGUACAGUGGAGGAGGGUUAUUAUAGCACCAGUGAUCGCAGCGGCCUCAGGACUGAUUUGACAAUGCCAUUCAGUAGCUUCUAUUUUGAAGGCUUCUCUGUUUUAGAUGACUCUCACAAGUAUGCUUUUUUUUUUUUUUUUUUUUGUGGG